ensembl:rRNA 5S_rRNA 5S ribosomal RNA
GUCUACGGCUAUACCACCCUGAACGCGCCCGAUCUCAUCUGAUCUCGGAAGCUAAGCAGGGUCGGGCCUGGUUAGUACUUGGAUGGGAGAUUUGAGGGAGGCCAUGAGCAAGGAUC